rnacentral:rRNA from 1 species
AACGAACGCUGGCGGCAUGCCUAACACAUGCAAGUCGAACGAGACCUUCGGGUCUAGUGGCGCACGGGUGCGUAACGCGUGGGAACCUGCCCUUAGGCUCGGAAUAACUCCCCGAAAGGGGUGCUAAUACCGGAUAAUGUCUUCGGACCAAAGAUUUAUCGCAUUUGGAUGGGCCCGCGUUGGAUUAGCUAGUUGGUAGGGUAAAAGCCUACCAAGGCGACGAUCCAUAGCUGGUCUGAGAGGAUGAUCAGCCACACUGGGGCUGAGACACGGCCCAGACUCCUACGGGAGGCAGCAGUGGGGAAUAUUGGACAAUGGGCGAAAGCCUGAUCCAGCAAUGCCGCGUAAGUGAUGAAGGCCUUAAAGUUGUAAAGCUCUUUUACCCGGGAUGAUAAUGACAGUACCGGGAGAAUAAGCUCCGGCUAACUCCGUG